CAGGAAAUUGACGCAUCUGCCCUUCACAGCACAUUUUGUUCAGAAAGCAAAUAACGACACUCAUAAACAUUCUGAAAGACUUACUACACCAAUUUUUCCAACCAUAUUGUCAUCGCGAAGAGGAGAAUUUAGAAAUUGAAAUUGACAACCCACGACGUGUGAGGAAUUUGAGACUAAGGAUAAAACAGGAAGUAUAUUUAAAAAUUAUGCAAUAAAAAAUAUAUGAAAAUACA